GAUGAACGCUAGCGGCAGGCCUAACACAUGCAAGUCGAGGGAUAAGCCUUCGGGCUGCAACCGGCGCACGGGUGCGUAACGCGUAUACAAUCUGCCUUUCACAUAGGGAUAGCCCGGAGAAAUUUGGAUUAAUACCUAAUUGUAUAUAAGAGUGGCAUCAUUUUUAUAUUAAAGCUUUGGUGGUGAAAGAUGAGUAUGCGUUCUAUUAGCUAGUUGGAGAGGUAACGGCUCCCCAAGGCGACGAUAGAUAGGGGUUCUGAGAGGGAUGUCCCCCACACUGGUACUGAGAUACGGACCAGACUCCUACGGGAGGCAGCAGUGAGGAAUAGUGGACAAUGGUCGGAAGACUGAUCCAGCCAUGCCGCGUGCAGGACGACGGUCCUAUGGAUGGUAAACUGCUUUUGUAAGGGAAGAAUAAGGAGUACGUGUACUUUGAUGACGGUACCUUACGAAUAAGCAUCGGCUAACUCCGUG
rnacentral:rRNA from 1 species